rnacentral:rRNA from 1 species
CCUACGGGAGGCAGCAGUAGGGAAUAUUGCUCAAUGGGGGAAACCCUGAAGCAGCAACGCCGCGUGGAGGAUGAAGGUUUUCGGAUUGUAAACUCCUUUUGUUAGAGAAGAUAAUGACGGUCUCUAACGAAUAAGCACCGGCUAACUCCGUGCCAGCAUCCGCGGUAAUACGGAGGGUGCACUCGUUACUCGGAAUCACUGGGCGUAACGGGCGCGUAGGCGGGAUAGCAAGUCAGAUGGGAAAUCCUAUGGAUUAACCCUAGAACUGCAUUUGAAACUGUUAUUCUAGAGUAUGGGAGAGGUAGGUGGAAUGCGUGGUGUAGGGGUAAAAUCCGUAGAGAGCAAGAGGAAUACUCAUUGCGAAGGCGACCUGCUAGAACAUAACUGACGCGGAUGCGCGAAAGCGUGGGGAGCAAACAGGAUUAGAUACCCUAGUAGUC